rnacentral:rRNA from 1 species
UUUGAUCCUGGCUCAGGAAGUCGUAACAAGGUAGCCGUAGAGUUUGAUCCUGGCUCAGGAAGUCGUAACAAGGUAGCCGUAGAGUUUGAUCCUGGCUGGUCAACUACUGACAAAGAUUUAUUGGUUGGGGAUGGGCUCGCGGCCUAUCAGCUUGUUGGUGAGGUAAUGGCUCACCAAGGCGUCGACGGGUAGCCGGCCUGAGAGGGUGACCGGCCACACUGGGACUGAGACACGGCCCAGACUCCUACGGGAGGCAGCAGUGGGGAAUAUUGCACAAUGGGCGCAAGCCUGAUGCAGCAACGCCGCGUGAGGGAUGACGGCCUUCGGGUUGUAAACCUCUUUUAGCAGGGAAGAAGCGAAAGUGACGGUACCUGCAGAAAAAGCGCCGGCUAACUACGUGCCAGCAGCCGCGGUAAUACGUAGGGCGCAAGCGUUAUCCGGAAUUAUUGGGCGUAAAGAGCUCGUAGGCGGUUUGUCGCGUCUGCUGUGAAAUCCGGAGGCUCAACCUCCGGCCUGCAGUGGGUACGGGCAGACUAGAGUGCGGUAGGGGAGAUUGGAAUUCCUGGUGUAGCGGUGGAAUGCGCAGAUAUCAGGAGGAACACCGAUGGCGAAGGCAGAUCUCUGGGCCGUAACUGACGCUGAGGAGCGAAAGGGUGGGGAGCAAACAGGCUUAGAUACCCUGGUAGUCCACCCCGUAAACGUUGGGAACUAGUUGUGGGGUCCAUUCCACGGAUUCCGUGACGCAGCUAACGCAUUAAGUUCCCCGCCUGGGGAGUACGGCCGCAAGGCUAAAACUCAAAGGAAUUGACGGGGACCCGCACAAGCGGCGGAGCAUGCGGAUUAAUUCGAUGCAACGCGAAGAACCUUACCAAGGCUUGACAUAUACGAGAACGGGCCAGAAAUGGUCAACUCUUUGGACACUCGUAAACAGGUGGUGCAUGGUUGUCGUCAGCUCGUGUCGUGAGAUGUUGGGUUAAGUCCCGCAACGAGCGCAACCCUCGUUCUAUGUUGCCAGCACGUAAUGGUGGGAACUCAUGGGAUACUGCCGGGGUCAACUCGGAGGAAGGUGGGGAUGACGUCAAAUCAUCAUGC